rnacentral:lncRNA from 1 species
CUUGGCAGGGAGACACUGACCUUGGGGUUAAGCUUGCAGAAAGCCCACGUCAACAGAGGGAAACUCUGUGACCACCUGUGUACUUUGGCUAUUAUAGUGAGUACACAACAAGUGCAUACAGAGGCCUGGGAAAAGCACAGGGAAGCAGAAGUCAGGUUCCUGUGUGAUUCCAAGGUCCAAAGACACAGGUGCAGACUUUGGAGCAAGUGGAGAGCCAAGAGAAAGAUUCAGAGCUGGAGCAGAAGGCUGGAAAGAUCUGGGAGUGCAGCUGUGCUGUGUGGGAAGAGGGGUCUCCUAAAGGACAAACAGCUGUUUGAAUCAGACAGUGAAACCUCAAAAAAAAGGGAGCAAAGGGAGAUCAUUGUUGAUGAAAGAGGCAACGGCUAUUUUCGAUAUGUGCUUGACUCUGAGAAUAUAGUUUUGGACAAAGAAACCCAUAACCUGACUUAAAGGAGCUUACAAUAUGGAGCUGACUGAUAUUUGACAAAGUGAGAAGACAGCCAUCUAUGAACCAAGAAGCUGGCUCUUACCAGACUCGAAAUCUGUAUGCACCUUAAUCUUGGACUUCCCAGCCUCCAAACUGGGAAAGGAUCAGGAAAUGAGCUGGUGCGAUGGAGAAAACAGGGAAGACAACCAGUGAGUUUCAG